CUGACUGCUAUCGGAUUGAUACUAAGCCAUGCGAGUCAUUGUAGCAAUACAAGGCAGACGGCUCAGUAACGCGUAGUCAACCUACCCUAUGGACGGGAAUAACCUCGGGAAACUGAGUAUAAUGCCCGAUAGAACAUUAUGCCUGGAAUGGUUUAUGUUCCAAAUGAUUUAUCGCCGUAGGAUGGGACUGCGGCCUAUCAGUUUGUUGGUGAGGUAAUGGCCCACCAAGACUAUUACAGGUACGGGCUCUGAGAGGAGUAGCCCGGAGAUGGGUACUGAGACACGGACCCAGGCCCUAUGGGGCGCAGCAGGCGAGAAAACUUUGCAAUGUGCGAAAGCACGACAAGGUUAAUCCGAGUGAUUUCUGCUAAAGAAAUCUUUUGCCAGUCCUAAAAACACUAACGAAUAAGGGGUGGGCAAGUUCUGGUGUCAGCCGCCGCGGUAAAACCAGCACCUCAAGUGGUCAGGAUGAUUAUUGGGCCUAAAGCAUCCGUAGCCUGCUCUGUAAGUUUUCGGUUAAAUCUGUAUGCUCAACAUACAGGCCGCCGGGAAUACUGCAGGGCUAGGGAGUGGGAGAGGUAGACGGUACUCGGGAGGAAGUGGUAAAAUGCUUUGAUCUCUCGAUGACCACCUGUGGCGAAGGCGGUCUACCAGAACACGUCCGACGGUGAGGGAUGAAAGCUGGGGGAGCAAACCGGAUUAGAUACCCGGGUAGUCCCAGCCGUAAACUAUGCAAACUCAGUGAUGCAUUGGCUUGUGGCCAAUGCAGUGUUGCAGGGAAGCCGUUAAGUCUGCCGCCUGGGAAGUACGUACGCAAGUAUGAAA
rnacentral:rRNA from 1 species